CCAACAUGAGCAGGAACCCAUAUGAAUCGUGUACCUGUGCCUUUUAUUUCCAUCCUAUACAUAAUGAGAAAUAUUUCAUUAAUUAAAUCCGUUCUGACUGAUGAUCUACCAGAUCCUAUGCUUGUCUCACUCACCGGGAUAUAAACUGCUGCACCUGCACACCCUGUCUCAGGAUCUUUGGAACCGUCUGUAAAUAAGAACACGGAGUCUGUGAAGUGCUGAUCCAAAUAAUUCUGGACUAUGCGCCAUGCUGGAAUUUUCUUUGACUUCUCCUUCAAUUCCUGCUGUAUAUUGAGGUCAACAUUUGGUAAGGGGAAUAACCAGGGAGGAAUGGAGGAAACUGAAACUGUAGAGCAAUAUUGGAAUUGACAUAACCCUAUGUUUUCUGCCUUUGCAUCACCUACCCACCCAAAGCUUAUGAAGUUUGUUUCAUUAUGUUCCCAGCAGUCUGUCAAAACACUUUUGGUAGGGUGAGUUUCAUAAUGCCCCUGAAGAUUAACCCAGUAUGCCAGCAUUAAUUUUAUUCUUCUAAUCCGUAGGGGCAUUUCUCCCACUUCCACUUGCAUUGCUGAUACCGGAGAUGUUCUGAAUGAUCCACUAAUGAUUCUCAAAGCCUGAGCUUGCAGUACAUCUCAUUUCUUGAGGUUUGAUUCUGCUGCUGACAUGUAAGCUACACACCCAUAGUCAAGGACAGAUCUCAUGAGAGCCCAGUAUAUAUUUUGUAAAGAUGCUCUACUUGCUCCCCACUCCUGUCCUGUCAAACAACGCAGUAUAUUGAUGACUUUUUUACAUUUGCUCCUGAUUUUAUCUAAAUGAAUAGCUCCGUCAUCCACGUACAUAGACUUUCCUAUAUUUUACUCAACCUGAGAAAAUAUAUCAUUGAUCAUUAUAUUGAAUAAUAACGGACUACAUACACUACCCUGUGGAGUUCCAUUAUCCACUGUAUAUACAUUUGAAUAUUCUGCAUCUACUCUUACCUGUAUUUUCCUGUCAAAUAAAAAGUCCUUCACCCAAUUAUAUGCUCUACCACCAAUUCCCAAUGAAUUCAAUUUAAUGAGUAACCCUUCUUUCCAGAGCAUAUCAUAUGCUUUUUCCACAUCAAAGAAGACAGCUAAUACUACUUCUUUGUUGGUCUGUGCUUUCCUGAUGUCUGACUCUAAGCAUAAGACAGAGUCCAUAGUAUUGCGAUCCCUACGGAACCCACUUUGAUGUGGAGAUAAAAGAGCUUUACUUUCCAGGAAAUAGGUUAAUCUCUCUGUAACCAUUCGCUCCAUAAUUUUACAUAAAUGAGAGGUUAGGGCAAUAGGUCUGUAACUACAUGGAUCUGAGGGGUCUUUCCCUGGUUUUAGAAUAGGCACUAUUACGGCUUGUUUCCACACUGAAGGAAGUUGGCCAGUUUCCCAAACUCUGUUAUCCAGUCUUAACACAGUGACCAGAGUGUUAUCUGCCAUGUUCUCUAACAUUUUAUAGCAUACGCCAUCUUUACCAGGUGUGGUCUGACGUGCACAAGUUAUUGCUCUUCUCAAUUCAAACCUACUAAAAGGCAGGUCUAUUGGAUCUUCUGAUGUCUCUUUUUUCUCUAAUAUUUUUGAUUUCUCCAAUAAAACUCUAUUUCUACAGUGCCUGGCCUCAUCUGUUAGGUUGUCGGAGCUGUGAACUUUCCUGAAUGU